GCCAUUGUACAGUGGCAUGUGCCUAUAGUCCCAGCUACUGGGGAGGCAGAGUUGAGCUGGGAGGGUUACUUGAGCCCAGGAGCUUUAGGCUGUAAUACACUAUACCAUCAUCUACCUGUACCAAGUUCAGCAUUAAUAUGGAGCAAGGGACCACCAGGUUGCCUAAGAAGGAGUGAACCAACCCAGGUCAAAAACCAAACAGGUCAAAAUUCUCAUGGUGAUCAGUAGUAAGACAUACCUGUCACUAGCCAUUGCACUCCAGCCUGGGCAGCAUAGCAAGAUCCGUAUCUCU
rnacentral:SRP_RNA from 1 species